rnacentral:rRNA from 1 species
CAGCCGCCGCGGUAAUACGUAGGUCCCGAGCGUUGUCCGGAUUUAUUGGGCGUAAAGCGAGCGCAGGCGGUUAGAUAAGUCUGAAGUUAAAGGCUGUGGCUUAACCAUAGUACGCUUUGGAAACUGUUUAACUUGAGUGCAAGAGGGGAGAGUGGAAUUCCAUGUGUAGCGGUGAAAUGCGUAGAUAUAUGGAGGAACACCGGUGGCGAAAGCGGCUCUCUGGCUUGUAACUGACGCUGAGGCUCGAAAGCGUGGGGAGCAAACAGGAUUAGAGACCCCGGUAGUCCCUGUCUCUUAUACA